rnacentral:rRNA from 1 species
AACCUCCGCAAUGUGAGAAAUCGCGACGGGGGGAUCCCAAGUGCCAUUCUUAACGGGAUGGCUUUUCAUUAGUGUAAAGAGCUUUUGGAAUAAGAGCUGGGCAAGACCGGUGCCAGCCGCCGCGGUAACACCGGCAGCUCUAGUGGUAACAAUUUUUAUUGGGCCUAAAGCGUCCGUAGCCGGUUUAAUAAGUCUCUGGUGAAAUCCUGUAGCUUAACUGUGGGAAUUGCUGGAGAUACUAUUAGACUUGAGACCGGGAGAGGUUAGAGGUACUCCCAGGGUAGAGGUGAAAUUCUGUAAUCCUGGGAGGACCGCCUGUUGCGAAGGCGUCUAACUGGAACGGUUCUGACGGUGAGGGACGAAAGUUAGGGGCGCGAACCGGAUUAGAUACCCGGGUAGUCCUAACUGUAAACGAUGCGGACUUGGUGUUGGGGCGGCUUUGAGCUGCUCCAGUGCCGAAGGGAAGCUGUUAAGUCCGCCGCCUGGGAAGUACGGUUGCAAGACUGAAACUUAAAGGAAUU